rnacentral:rRNA from 1 species
GAUGAACGCUGGCGGCAUGCCUAACACAUGCGAGUCGAGCGAACAUUCGGGGAGCUUGCUCCUCGGACGUUUGCGGCGUACGGGUCAUUACCACGAGGAAAACCCACCUAUUGGACUGGGAUAACUUCGGCAAACCUGAGCAUUUACCGGAUAAUAUAUUUAACCGCAGGGUUCUAUAGUGAAAGACGGUUUUGCUGUCCCUUAUCGAUUGAUCCCCGUCGCAUUAGCUAGUGGGUAAGGUAACGGCCUGCCAUGGGAACGUUGCGUAGCCGACCUGAGAGGGUGGUCGGCCACCCUGGAAGUGAGAAACGCCCCAGACGCCUACGGGCGGGAGCAGUAGGGAAUCGGGCGCCAUGAGCGAAGACUUGACGGAACAACGCCGAGUGAGUGAUGAAGGUCUUCGGAUCGUAAAACGCUGUUAUUCGGGAAGAACAAAUGUGUAAGUAACUAUGCACAUCUUGACGGUACCUACACAAAAAGCCACGGCUAACUACGUG